rnacentral:lncRNA from 1 species
UAUCUGUCAUUUGACAGCCUCUUGUUUUAAACAUGUUAAAGGAUAUUUUAAAUAUCUCCAUUGUACAUACUCAUUAUCUUUGUAUGCCACUAUAAUCAGCUUUUAUUAAAUUGUUAAAUGUGUGGUUUUGGGGGAAAUGCACAUAAUGUAGAUAAAUGAUGUUAUCAUUUUACAUAACUCCAGAUAUUCUUUUAUUAUCAUUCAGUUUUAUGUGGCAGCUUGUCUGAAAGGCUGGUGUGUAAUAUUUCUUACUUGCCAUCAGUUAUCCAUUUAUUUAUUCACCCAUUUUAAAAUGACUGAGCUAGUCAAAUUUCUUUUUUUAAAUUCCAAAGCUGUGAGUAUAAUAUCAAACUGUAUACAUGUAGGUAUAAUGUUUUGGAGAGUUUCCACACAGAAUCAUUUUCUAUUUCCAGUGGUGGUAGAAUUCUUCAAAACUCCACCUUUAUAUGAACAAAAUUUAUAUUAAUAAUGAUAAUGAAUGAAAUUCUGUAUCAUUUCUUUUUCUUUUUUAUGCCCCUGUCGGAGGGUGCAUUAAGUUUUACCCUUGUCUGUCCAUAUGUCCCCCCCCAUUCUCUAACUUUAGUUUGCCACAACAAAAUAUAAUGAAGCUUAUUCAUAAUGCUUAUUACCACAACACUCAGAUCAUGUACAAAUUUGGGCAGUGUUGCUUGAGUUAUGUUCCUUUAUAACAAAAAAGUAUGCAGACAGGGGCAUCAUCUGUGCACCAUGGACACAUUUCCUAUUUAUUCUCUAAUGAAAGAUGUAACAAAACAUGAUUCUAGAUUUUUUUAAUUAGCUUCUAAAUGUCUUAUCUAAAACAAGGAAGGAAAAUCUUUCAAAUUCUUAAAAUGCUCAAGAAAAUAUAAUGUGGAGAUUCUAACAAAAUGUUAUUGUUCUAUAAUGAUGCAACCGGAUUUAUAAAAGGUUAAUUUCAAUUAUUUUAUAACAUUUCGAUUUGUUGUUAUUGAAUAUAAUUAUAGUCUGAAAUGUUGACUUGUUAUUUUAUACAUAAACUGGAAC